rnacentral:sRNA from 1 species
UUAAAACCAAAAAAAAAAAAACUAUUUAGGUUU